rnacentral:sRNA from 1 species
AUUGAUUAUCAGCUGUUUUGUACGGAAAACGUGGAAUCUAAAUAAUAUACAGUUUCCCUGCUCUGCUGCUAUAUUGGCAAUACAUUUUUGUCAUGUCAUCUGCAACAGACGAUCAUACAUAUGUGACGGAUUAUCGAUAUAGCUAGGUAGCAAUAGCAGUGGAAGCCCGGAUUUGCAAGCCAAAUGAGGGAAAGACAGAAGUCUGAAAAGGAGCAUGUUUUUCAUUUCCACACAUGCAUGUGUAUCACUAUGGACAUCUAAUGCUUUUGUGGGAUUUUGUCCAGCAGUUUGCCUUAAAAGAAUUUUUUUAUAUUUUAGUUUCAUAUUUAUGUGGAUUCCAAUAAAAAUCAUACAAACUUU